rnacentral:tRNA from 1 species
CUCGCCAUAGUCUAUAUUUAAGGACGGAAAUUUGUCUGAUUUCAGGAUAGGCGGGG